GUGCAGCCGCCGCGGUAAUACCGGCAGCCCGAGUGAUGGCCGAUCUUAUUGGGCCUAAAGCGUCCGUAGCUGGCUACGCAAGUCCGCCGGGAAAUCCACGUGCUUAACACGUGGGCGACCGGCGGAAACUGUUCGGCUUGGGGCCGGAGGACCCGAGGGGUACGUCCGGGGUAGGAGUGAAAUCCUGUAAUCCUGGACGGGCCGCCGGUGGCGAAAGCGCCUCGGGAAGACGGACCCGACAGUGAGGGACGAAAGCUGGGAUCUCGAACCGGAUUAGAUACCCCGGUAGUCC
rnacentral:rRNA from 1 species